CGGAGUGUGGCUCAGUUGGCAGAGCGCGCGCUUUGGGAGCGCGAGGUCCCCGGUUCGAAUCCGGGCACUCCGA
rfam:Microgenomates (Woesebacteria) bacterium GW2011_GWA1_39_12 TT23_C0001, whole genome shotgun sequence.